rnacentral:rRNA from 1 species
GAUGAACGCUGGCGGCGUGCUUAACACAUGCAAGUCGAACGAUGAAGCCCAGCUUGCUGGGUGGAUUAGUGGCGAACGGGUGAGUAACACGUGAGUAACCUGCCCUUAACUCUGGGAUAAGCCUGGAAAAAUGGGUCUAAUACCGGAUAGGAGCGUCCACCGCAUGGUGGGUGUUGGAAAGAUUUAUCGGUUUUGGAUGUACUCGCGGCCUAUCAGCUUUUUGGUGGGGGAAUGGCUCACCACGGCGACGACGGGUAGCCGGCCUGAGAGGGUGACCGGCGACCAUGGGACUGAGACACGGCGCAGACUCCUACGGGAGGCAGCAGUGGGGAAGAUUGCACAAUGGGCGCAAGCCUGAUGAAGCGACGCCGCGUGAGGGAUGACGGCCUUCGGGUUGUAAACCUCUUUCAGUAGGGAAGAAGCGAAAGUGACGGUACCUGAAGAAGAAGCACCGGCUAACUACGUG